rnacentral:rRNA from 1 species
CAGUAGCCACGGUAAUACGUAGGUGGCAAGCGUUGUCCGGAAUUAUUGGGUGUAAAGGGCUCGCAGGCGGUUUCUUAAGUCUGAUGUGAAAGCCCCCGGCUCAACCGGGGAGGGUCAUUGGAAACUGGGAAACUUGAGUGCAGAAGAGGAGAGUGGAAUUCCACGUGUAGCGGUGAAACGCGUAGAGAUGUGGAGGAACACCAGUGGCGAAGGCGACUCUCUGGUCUGUAACUGACGCUGAGGAGCGAAAGCGUGGGGAGCGAACAGGAUUAGAUACCCCCGUAGUCCCUGUCUCUUAUAC